GACGAACGCUGGCGGCGUGCUUAACACAUGCAAGUCGAACGGAAAGGCCCUGCUUUUGUUGGUUUCUCGAUUGGCGCACGCGUGUGUAACACGUGUGUAUCCUCCCCUUUUCUUUGUGAUAACUUCUCGAAACUGGGGCUAUUACCGCAUAUGAUCUCCUGCUGCAUGUUGUUGGUUGGAAAGUUUCGGCUGUUGGGGAUAGUCUCGCGGCUUCUCAGCUUGUUUGUCGGGUAGUGGCUUACCAAGCCUUUGACGGGUAGCCGGCCUGAGAGGGUGACCGGGCACAUGGGGACUGAGAGACGGCCCAGACGCAUACGGGAGGCAGCAGGGGGGAAUAUGGCACAAUGAGCGGAAGCCAGAUGUAGCAACGUCGCGUGCGGGAUGACGGCUUAUGGGUUGAAAACAGAUGUGGAAGGUGACGAAGCGGGAGUGACGGUAAUGGGUAAAGAAGCAACGGCUAACUACGUG
rnacentral:rRNA from 1 species